rnacentral:tRNA from 1 species
GCCCCUAUAGCUUAACGGACAAAGCGUCCCGCUCCGGACGGGAUGAUGGAGGUUCAAUUCCUCCUAGGGGCA